AGGAGUGGUGUGCAACCUUAAGAGUGCCGCUGUUCUCAGUACUCCAGAGUGACCAGAGAGGCACCAGGCUCCUCUCCCUACAGUGGCAGUACAUUGUAGGGAAAUGUGCAUGUCCAGAAGGUGGUGGACUUGCCCCUUAGGACAUUCACAUUCUGCCUUUCACCUCUACUAAAGUAUUCUUCCCUGUAUUUGUGGUCUUGGGGUGAUUAUGACUCCCUGCUAUUUCUCUUUGCCAGGACUCUUCUUUUCUUUAUUCAUUUUUCCAUCUAUCUGUCCCCCGUAGGGAGAUGAGGAAGCGCCCCACUCAGUCACAUAAUCUAAAAUCAUCCUAUCAGAAUAACCUACCCCUGAUCACAGGACCUACUCAGGGGUGUGGACAUCCAAGUAAGACUAUCCAGAACUAUUCCCUGAGUGGGCAUGCAGAGGUUAGGCAGGAGAAAGACUUCUUCCCCAGGAGUUGGUAAAAGCCACCUGGAAUGCCAACUAUGGGCAGAUGCUGGGCCGAGCAUCUCUCUACUCCUUGGCCUUGUUUCUCACCUUUAAAAACAGCUAUGUCUGUGGGUGACCUGCCCUGUCAUCUGGGUGCCCAUCCCUGUAGCAGUAGGCAGCUGCUGAGGGCGGACGCAGCUGCAAAGCAUUGAAAAGCAGUGGACCAGUUGUUCACACAGAGAUUCAGAUGGGUCCUAAGCCACAGUCCUCAGGGCCCACAAAACAAAAACUGAAUAGGAAAGGGAGGUAGCAAGGCAACAUAGUCUCUUAGUCACCUUCAAGUCCUGUGUUUGUCCGAGGUGGUGUGAUUUAUCCAGGUGAAACUUCGGGAUCCAUCCUCACUGGCUAUGGGAGCAUUUCUCUCUGACCCUCCCUGGGCCUCCUGCAGAGCCUCAGGUGUUCUUGGGAGGCUGGAUGACAAUCCUACAUUACCUAAUACUAAUGGUGAGGAUCUUGGCUGAGCCACUUAACCUCUGUAGCCUUAGUUUCCUGACCUGGAAAGUGCAGUGGGCAUCUUUUGGCUACUGGGAAGACCUAUGAAGCUAAGGGUAAUUGCCAUGGCACUAUGGGCUGGCAGUGUUCUUGUGGGGCAGGAGGAAGCCAGACUGCAUUUUACCCCAUUGAGGGCCAGCAUGGACAUGUCCGGCAGUAGCAGAGCCCCGAAUAUUAGUCCCAAGCCUGUCUACCUGGCUUCCUGUGCAUUUCUUCUACCCAGAUGGGACCUCACCAUGCUAUGCCAUGGGUGGGCACUGCUGUGUCCCAGCCUGUGUUCCAGGGCAGCCUUUCUUUCUCUGGGACAGCACUCAUCAUGACUCAGGCUGAGUCCUCUCCAACACUUCCACUUGUCCCAUCCAGCUGUCAGCACAGUAGUGGAGCCCAGAGAAUGGGACAAGUGUGGCAUUGUAAUGUGCUUGUCACGUGGGUCUGCAUAGCUCUGCACUCAAAGGCCUGGGAUUCCAGGACAGGGGCCCACCUUGAGAUGCUCGCCUCUAGUGGGUGGAAGAUAGGCAUCUUUAGCACCUCGCUGCCAGGUACAGAGGGCUAGCAUGGGGAGGAAUGAAAGGAACAUGUGUGGGCUUAGGGGCUUGGCAGGUGUCCAGGGUGAAGGAUUAACUGACAAGUGACAGUCAGCUGGGGAGAGAAAGGAGAAGUGGUGAGGAGGGUGCUGCAUGGAGCACACAGCAGCUGGAGCAGCUUGGGAGGCUGCCCAGAUCGCACAAGGGUCAGCAAGGCCUGCGAGGAGGAAGCAGCUGAGCUUGACCUGUGCCCCCAAGCAGGCCACACAUGGCCUGGGAAGCCAUGCAAGAAGCCAGAGUUUAGUCCUGAGAGGGUGGAACGAGGGAAGGGCUUUAAUCAGGAAGAUUCCAUGGGUAGGUAACUAUUUUCCAGAGACAGCUGGGGCUGUGUGGAAACCUUGGCAUUGAAGGAGGAAAGGAUGAAGGCAGGGAGGGAGGGGAGGUUGGAUGUGGAGGAGGAUGCUGAGAAUGCAGACAGCACCGGAUAGGUUAGAACCAGUAUCCCAGGGAAGCUGAGGGCCUUGCUUUGUCUUUUGGGUGGGUAGCACACUUGAGUGGGGGCGAGCUCAGGAGGAAAUCAAAGUGAGUGUGGGAGAAGGUUGGGGAGACACUGUGGAGGUCACCCAGAGCACCCUUCCACUGUAGAGAGGGUAUGGGCUGUGGUCUGUGCUUUCAGAGACUGUCUUACCCAAGGUUGUGGCCCUUUCUGGGGCACACAUGUCCUUUAUGGCAAGCAUCUGCUGUUGGUUCACUGGGUUAGCUCUGAGAGGGACAUUCUAGCAUCGCAGCUUCUGGUGUCAGUGGAGGCUGUCUUCGGACCUGACUGGGACUUAUUCCCCCUCUGCCUUGCUCCUCAUGUGGCUUUCCUUCCACAUGUGGCUAUCCAAGAGUCGUCUUCAACAAGUAUCCUGCUCACUAAAUUCUAGCUCAGUCUGCUUCCGGUGAGCCCCGAUUAGUUCCACUUUGUUGUGACCGUGCAGUCCUCCUCUCCAGAGAACCAGAAUAUUUCUCUGCCUCUUGAGUCUGGAUGAAGACAGCGUGUAGCAGUGACUACUAAUUGCAGGUCCAAGAGGACUUGCAGUUUCAUUUUCUCUAAGACCCUCAGGAUAUGGAAACAAGCCAGAAUGACCUGCUGGAAAGAGGCUGUAUGGAGAACCGAAGCCCCCCACCUAAUAGAGAAGGGCCAUCCUGUGUCCUCCAGCCUCAUGGAGGCCACCCAAACCCACACACUGUGGAGCAGAGCUAUGCCAUCCUUGCUGAGCCUAGAACAGUGAAUAAUAAAAUAACGAUACGAAGCCCCUAAGUCUUGGAGUGGCUUGGGAUUCAGCAGCAGAGAACUAACUCAGCCUGCCACUCCACAGCAAGCAGCCACGGCAUGUGAUCAAGCUGGUGGCUACCUGGACACUGCAGGAUAUGGCAGGCUAGGGAGGCUUCCUGCCAGCGACUGCAGGGUUAAAUGCAGCUCUGCUCUGCAGCCCCAGGAUGCAAGUUCUGCUCUGUCAUCUCUGAGAGCAUCAAUACUCAUUUCAUCCCCACUCUUGGAACCGGGAGAUGCCAGAGCUAUUACCUCUUAAGCUCUCUGUGUCUGUGGGGAGAAGCAGCUCGUUGCCAGAGGAGCGAAUGAGGCCCAGCCUUCCACAGAAACAUCCAUCGUCCCGACUGCUCCAGGCACAAUCCCAGCAUAUAAUUCUCUACUGCAGGAGCUGGCUCUGAGUGCAUCCAUCUCUACAAGCUCAUUAUUCAUCUUAUUAUUUUCAUGCUGUCCCAGUGGGGAAUAAAAGCCAUCAAUAAAAGCCAUCACAACAUUGCUGCAGAUUAUGCUAAAUGACCUAGGCAAAGUGCUGGCUGUGGCAGACACUGUGACCAUGAGGGCCAAAGCCACACAUCCACAGUACUCCCCUGGGGCUGGAGAAGGUGCAUACUUCUCUUACCCCAGACCCGUCCACCCUUUCCUCACAUCCCUGGUGCUCUUAGUUGCCUUAGGGUGAUUGUAAUCCAUGGACUAAUGAGCCCUGAACUUGUUAGAGACCUGAGUUCAGCCUCCACUUGGGCUGUGUGAUAUUGGGCUGGUUGCUUGGGCUUUCUGAAGCUUUGGACUCCUCAUCUACAAAUUGGGCAGAAAUUCUUGUGAGAACUAAAUGAGAAAAUAAACGUGAGAGAUGCACAGUAUAAAGUGCCCUACAUAUGUAGUGGUGGCAUCAUUAUGGUCAUUCCAACUAACCAGCACAUGCCAAAGAAACUAUAGGAAAACUAGACUGGACAUGAUGUUUCCUCAUUUUUCAGUGGGCUGAAGUAGUGUUUGCCCAUCAAUUUCACAGAGUGAGGCUCAGCUGAAAUAACAGGAGAGCCCUUUGGCAAAGCAUGAAGUUGUACAAAUGGAAGAUGUUUCCCGCAUCAUUUCUUCUCUAAGCUCUGUUGUUUCUCUUUUGCUUGUUUUUGUUUUGACUAAUCUUCCUAUUUCUUUCCUCUUCAGUGUUACUGAGUCUUCUCUAAAACUUAGCUAAAAUGAUCAGGAAAACUUGGACUGGUUUGGUUUGGAAGGAAAGAAGAGGAACUGUCAUUAUUGAGCAAGGAUUACAUUUCAGACAUUCUAAUGAGACCUCACCUAACAGUCCUUUCAGAUGGGUGUUGUUUGCCCUGUUUCACAAGAGAGGGAGCCAAGACUGAGCAAGUCCAGGUGUCUGCUCAGUCACAGAGCUGGAAUUUGAGCUAAGUUCUGAGCAAUUAUACCACACUCAAGAUCUCUGUUCUUUCUUCUGUUGAAGAUGCCCCUCAACUUAUCCAAAUACUGAUACCUCUCACAUCCCAGUUUGACCCUUCUUAUCACAAUUAAACCCUCUUAGUUAAAAUUCAUUUAUGAAUGCUAGUAUCUUGUGAGGUUGCUGACUGUCUAAGCCAUCAGAGGUGAAGUAUACAUAAGAUGAAGAUUUCAAAUUAUGUUACAAAGCUGUUCUGAUAAAAAAACAACACGAUACAGGCACAGAACAGACUGUGGAUCAAUGGAACAGAACAGAGGUUAUUCAGCCAUCAGAUUUUUGACAAAGGCAAAAAAUACACUGGAGCAAAGAUAACCUCUUUAACAAGUGGUACUUGGAAGAUAGACUACCUAUAUGCAGAAGACUGAAUCUAGACCCUUAUCCAUUAGCAGACAGUAAAAUAAAAAUGGAUGAAAGCCCUGGAUAUUAAAACAGAGAGACUUGAUCUACUGGGGAAAAAUUUUUAGAAAGGUGAAACUCUUGAAUUAGGCACAGAUAAAGACUUUCUGAAAAAACUCCAAUUUCAUAAGAAAUAACAUCAAGGAUCAACAAAAGGAAUCAUACCUAAUGAAAAAGCUUUGGUACAACAAAGGAAACAGCCUAUGGAGUGAAGAUACAAACUACAGAAUGAGCAAAAAAUUUUGUCAGCUACUCCUGGGACACAAAUAAUAUGUAGAAUAUAUAUAUAUAUAUAUAUAUAUAUAUAUAUAUAUAUAUGUAUAUAUUCCAGAAAGAUUAGCACCCUCAAUGCAAGAUGCAAUUAAAAAAUGGGCAACUGAAAUGAAUAGACAUUUCUCAGAAGUACAAGUGACCAAUAGAUAACUUGAAAAAAAGUUGCACAUCCUUGACUAUGAGAAAAAUGAAAAUUAAAAUAACACUAUGAUUCCAUUUGCCUCCAUAAAGAAUGGCUAUUAAGAAUUAAAAUAAUAAUUGGUGGUGGUGCUGCUUUCCAUUAGUCCCAGUACUUGGGAGGGAAGGGAGUUUGAGGCCAUAGUGGAGUCAACUACAUAGUGGAAUUUUGUCUCAAAAACAAAAACACCAAAAUGAAACAAAAAAGAAUUCAGAUAAUAAUGGAUGCUGGUGGGGCUGUGGAGAAGAGGAACCUUUCUACAGUGUUGAUGGAACUGUAAAUUAGUAUAACCUCUAUGGAAAUUAGAAUAAAGAUUACUCAAAAAAUAAAAAUUCCUUUUAUCCUGGGUAUUCCCAAAAGAGUUAGAGAUAUUAUAUUGCACUCAUUUUUACAGUAACCCAACUCAUAAUAGCUUAAUCUUGGAACAAUCUAUAAUGCAUUGAGAGAUGAAUGUGAUAUUCAUGCGCAAUAGAGUACAUGCUGCCAUAAAGAAGGGUAGAUUUGAGUUGCUUGUAGGAGAGUAGAUCUGCCUUGAGACCAGGUCACAUGAAACUCUCAUUUCUUCCAUUCACUAUUUCAUGGGAGGACCUACCUAAGCAAUAGGGCAAGGAAAGGAAAUUUAAAAAAACAUAGAUUGCAAAGAAAGAGUAAAACUUAUUUUCAAGUGAUGCAAUUGUAUCUAUAGAAAAUUUCAGGGAAUCUACAGAUCUACUGGAAUUAAAAAGUAAAUGUAGAAAAACAUCAGACUGUAAGUAGAAUAUGUAAAAAUUGAUUGUAAUAUACUAGCACGAAACAAUCUGAAAAUGAAAAAGAAUUCUAUGGCUACACUACCCAAAAAUAAAAAUACAUAGGGUUAAAUACAAUAAAGAAGUUGUACACUGAAAAGUAAAGAAAUGCUGAGAGAUUAAAGAUUUAAUUAACCAGAUUUAUAUGUUCUAAGAUUCCAUACUGUUAAAUGCCAAUUCUGUCCAAAUUGGGGUGGCAAAUCUAUGAAUCAGUCUAAACCCAAGAACACUUCUUAAAACCAGAUAUUGGUCAACAGAGUUUUUUAAAAAUUGUUUUGGUGGGUACUGGAGAUUCAAUUCAUGAACUUGUGCUUGCCAGGCAGGCAUGUGUGCCGCUGAGCUGAUCCCUGGCUCCCAGCGAAUUUUUAAUAUGUCAAAUUGUGAAGAAUCAAGAAUAGCAAACUAAAUUUGAAAAAGAAGGGCUGGUGUGUAGUAAGUAGCUUCCCUAAUGUGCAUGAGGAGAAGAAGAAGAGGGGGAGGAAGAAAAAAGGAGAAGGAAAAGAAGAAAGAAGAAGAAGAGAAAAAAAUUAAAAGACUUAACAGUAUAUACAUGCAUCCGGACUCAUUACACAACACUUAAGAUGGAAAUAGGUGCUUAUGUUCAAAGAUAUUAAAAAUAUAUAAUGAAUUCUUACAAGCCAGUGAGAACAAGCAAACAUCUGAAAAAUAAGCAGAACAGACACCUCAAAUAAGACUAAUAAGUAAUAAUUCAUUACCAGGGAAGUGCAACUUAAAACAACUGGGUAUUUCUUAGGCAUCUAGCAGAGUGGCUAACAUGAAAAGACCAAUAGCAGGAUUUGGAUGUUGGUGGGAAUAAACAUUGGUAAAACCACCAGCUUGAUUUUUGUCUACUGAACUGGACACACACACUCAAUGACACUAGGACACAUGGCAAGAAUUUUACAGCUGCAUUAUUUACAGUCCAAAUGGAUGGCGUGAAUGUUCAUCAACAAUAGAAUAAAAAAAAUUGUGAGUUCUUUUGUAAAGAAAAUCUCACAGCAAAGAAAGGAAAUAAGCUUCUCACAAUAUGGAUGAAACUUGCAGUGUUGAGUAAAUAAAACCAAAUAAACUAAAUGAUUCCACUCAUGCAUUAUUUUUGUAAAGCAGGCAAGAUGAAACUACAGUGAUUAAGUAUGCAUGCCUACUUGGUAAUAAUAUAAAGAAGAGGAAGAAAGUGGUUACCAUGAAAACCUGUGUAUUAGGCAGGGAAGUGGAGCCCUAUGAAUAUUGCAGAAUGGGAGGUGAUCUGGAGGAACUAGAUGUAAUGUAUUCAUGGGAGGAGGUGGGGACCAGCAGGCUCAGAAAAAGAGCUGAAGGGUGGGGAAAAGCUACUCCCUGAGCCCCUGGAAGCCUGUGAGAUGUGAGCCGGAUGCUUUAGAGCUCCAGAGACGAGGCACUCAGGCAGGCCAGGUUGCUGGCAGAGCUGUUGGUGGGAGAGAAGGGGCUAGUAGGAGGCUGUGCCCCUGCAUAGCUACCAGGGCUGAGGAUUUGCAACCUAAUGUCUGCUGGUGGACAUUCCCUGAGGAUAAAGAUCUCCCCUCACACCUGUCACUCUGGUCACACCUGGUCUCCUGUGGCUGGGGCAAAUGGAACUUGGGGUCUGGUAGGUAUUUAGACUACGUUUAUUGCCAGCCAGAGCUUUCAUUUACCUCUUUGAUGACUUUUGUCUCACUUUUGUAACACACACUCACACUAUCAUUGAUUAAUAACCCUAUUUAACUUGUCUCAAAUCCUAGCUUUGAGGAUUAAUACCAUUUGCAUCUGUAUUAUGAAUAGAAAGCUCGUAUUAGUUAUAAAUAGCACAUGACUGCCAAAAUAAAGAUACUAUAAAUAAAACAAUGUUAUUCACCUAAAAUUUAAAGAAUGACGUGUAGACUGGUAAAAAUUGAGUGGCUUCACGAAGUCAAAUUGAUUCACAAAAACAAGAACUUUUAUGAGAAAAACAGAAUGGUCUCUGAAUGGUCUUUGAAUUGUCUCCAUAAACUAAUAUUAACAUGAUGUCACUCCAGUAGAGAUGAUCACACAUUUCUUUGUGACUUAAUAACAGUUUUUAGUUUUGAUGAUAACUCAGAGUCCCAUCUCCCAUGUGCUCAUAGUUGGAAAGAACACCUUACCACUCCCCAGAUGGUAACGUUUUAGAAAUUAAAAUAUUUAUUAUGUAUUUUGGGUCCAUGUGAGAAUGUAUAUGUAUUUAUAAAUGCAUCAUGAGAUUUCUAAACCAUCUGAGGAACAAUAAUAAUAACUGAUCUCCGCCUAGCCCUUCAUUUCCUCUGUAGCUAAAAAGCAUUCUGAAUUCACUUCUAUCUUAAAGACAGCCCAACUACUCAUGAUGUUCUUAUGCAAGUUAUCGUUUAGAUAUGCUUGACUCAGAGUUUCAUGAUGAUACUCUUGUUCUUUGGUGUCUUCUGGAGAGAGCAGGUAAGUGGGUGUGGGGUUUGUACUUGCGGUGGGGCAGGUUCCAACUGCACAUGACCAUCUGGGGGAAUCUCUGUGAGGUAGGAAGGUGCCCCCCACCUCUGUUCUGCUCAGGUCAAUUGGUUUGUACCUCCAGCCCAGGGAUGGGAGUUAAAGGGGAGGUAAAAUCAGAGGCUUAUUCUGUAUCCUGUGCAGAAGAGAGCUAGGCCCCUUCCUUGCAAGGUUAGCCCUUGGCUGGUGUUUGAGAAUUUGACAUCCCCUCUGUUCCCUAAAGAGUGGCUCACUGUACCUAACCUAUCCCAACAGUGCCUAUGUGACAGCUUUCCAUGCUCCUGAUAAAACCCAGGGCGCCAGGUCUAAGGGGCUGCCAUGUAUAAACACUGUAUCUGUGUUCUCACACCCCACUGCCAGGGGAAGUAAGGACGUCCUGUUUGAGUCCCUGGGAGAGGACUGUUUGGGUCUUGAUUUUUAUUUGUGCAGUGUGAGGGAUGAAAGAGAAAGAAUUUUGGGUGCUUGUUCCCGAUUUCUCUGAACUUGGCCCCAAGUGCUCUUCUCUUGCUGAUCCCCUUUGUAUCCUUCUGCUGGUGUAAGUCAUACGCACCAGUAGCACACAUGACGAGUCCCUGGAGGCCUUUAGCAAAAUAUCAAAUUUGAGAGGGCCAAGGACUUCCCGAGCCCUGCAAAUCCUGUGUUCCUGCAUCACUAUGGGACCCCGAACCUUGACUUUGUGCUUUUAUACUUUAGGGGACCCUGCAUAUAUUACACACACACACACACACACACACACACACUCACUCACACAUGCCAUGUAGACCCCUCUGCCACUUGAGACAUAAGGCUCUUGGAGGACUGGGAUGAUCUGUAACCCUAAAGACGGCUCCGCCCCGGGAAACCCUCUGCACACGCCUGGCCGUGGGUCAAGGAAGACCUUUGUGACACCUAUUUCCGGCAGCAUCAGAGAUAAACCCUGCUUCCAGAAGCAGGGAGGGUUUGAGCAGAGGUGCUGGGGCCAGAGAAAAAGCAAAUUAAUUAACUUGUCAAAUCUUUCCUCCAAGCUUGACUGAAACAGUCUUAUGUAACGAAUUAUUGUUUCCCAGUUGUGCCAAACGUUCAUCUUCUUGCUUCUCUUCAUGUUCCAAUUCCUGUUUCUGGAGCUAAGAUUAACACAGCAUUCACAACGCCUGCCCAGAGAUGCGGGAGCAUGUUUUCCAACAGUGAAAGAUUCAUAUUACUCUUAACUUUCUAGAUAUACAGCUCAAGACAGUGAAGUGUACUUUUCUGAUCCUUCACAUUUGCAACAAAUCAGCAUUGAAUGCUAAAACUGUAGGUUGUUUUGUCCAAAAAUAUAACAUAUUUCAUUAAAUUUUUAAGAAUUUCAGUUAAAAAGUUUCAGUGAAGUGGCUUUGAUUAAAAAUUUUGACAUUUAUUAAUCAUAAUUUGUGUUUUGCUUUUUAAUUUUUUGUCCAUUUGGAAUAUUUUAGAAGAAAAAUAACUUACUGAGAUCACAUUUUAAAAUAUUUUUAAUUUUUUCAAUUUUUACUUGUAGUUUAAGGAAUUUAAAAAAUGAAAACAUUGAUUUAUUCCCUAUGGAUGCAAUUAUAUUUUACUUUUAAAUCCUUAGACAGUUACUGGUGAUAGAAGAAAACUUUGUGAAGAUGAACACAGUUGAAGAUUUUGCUAAACUGAAGGCAAAAAAAUUAUGAACUCAGGAAAUCAAUAUAAAAUAGUACAUAGAAUAUCACUCUAUUCUAUUAUCUAUCCAAACAUCAACAGCCCAACCAUGGACCACCCACACAUCCACAGUGACAAGUGAAUUCAUCUCUGAUAUUAAGACUUCCAGUCAUAUAAAAACCACAGUUUAAUUCAUGCUUUAAAGCUGCAUGGAUAAUACUUGGGUACACGCAGAGGCAGAGAGCACUGUGUGUUAGGAGGUGACCACCUGGCCUCUGUGCCCUGACAGCUGUGCUUCCCACUGCCAGGUGCAGCCCUGGUGGCCUCUGCCAACAUCAGACAAGCCUGCUUCCUUCCUAAUAACGCUAUGCCAUGACACGACAUGGUUCAUGCUAUGGGGAGCAUUGGCAUAGAUGAUCCUGGGGAUGUGUGGACCUUAGGGAAGGCCACACCACAGCCAGAGGACAGAAAAAUCCAGGAGCCUCCCAAGGACCUUUGGUGUGAGGCUGGAGACGGCUUCCCGUCCCCACCAUGAGGUCCAGGCUGGCAGACACAGUUGUUCAGGAACAGGCUGGUGCUUGGAAGAGGAGGGUAGAAUUUGAGUUCUGAAGCUUUCUACCAAUUUCACUGUAAACAAAGAUUUCUCUUAAGCCUCUGCUUCUCUCUCUCUCUCUCUCUCUCUCUCUCUCUCUCUCCCUCUGUGUGUGUGUGUGUGUGUGUGUGUGUGUGUGUGUGUGUGUGAUACUGGGAAUUAGAUCCAGACCUUUCAGACAGAGCUAUGUCUCCAGUCGGUUUUGAGAGACCAGGUCUCAUUAGUUACCCAGGCUGGUUUCAAACUUCCGUUCCUCCUGCCUCAGCCUCUCAGAAUGCCAGGGUUGCAAGUAUGUGCCCCAGCACUGGCUUCACUUGGAUUCUUUGAUAUUAUUUUCUCUACUCGUGUAAAAUGGGAAUACUGAUUCUUGCUUUCAGGGUUGCUGUGAAAACCGAAGGUGUGGGGUUCAUGGGGUACCCCGAUGUGUGUGGACAGGGAAAUUGGGGACUAUAGACUCAUCCUAGUGGUCAGUAGGAGCAUGUAGAACUCGGCAUGUGAAGCCUGCUUAUGCUCUUCCUGUUUUCUAGGCCCUGAACGCCCAGGGGUCUCUGGAAGCCUGCUUGUGCUCACGCCAGGUCAGAGCACCUGCUUCCUUCUCCAUGUCAGGCUGUGAGUGAUUUACAGCCAGGCUGGGCAUGUGUGGGAGGUCUCCUUACCUGUAAGUUAUUCCACUGGUAAUUAGAUUUCUUUCUAUUGUGGAAAGCCAGCAGGUGUAAAUCCUCAGGAACCUGGGAGCAGAUGAUAUAAGGGUCACUUGAGCCCCCAUGCUGCCUAAAAUGCAUCUUCCAGGAAAAUGAUUUCUCUGGGCACAUAAGUUACCACAAUCCCAGGGCAACCAUAGCUCAGACCCUGGCCAUUCCUGUAAUGCUGUGUACGAGUGAUGUAUGUUCUGGGCUCCCUCGCAGCUGCCUGCCCUGCUCUGCACUGUGGUUAGGAGCUGCACCCGCACCCAUGCCACGAGGGGCAAUAAUCGGGAAGGGAAGGCAGAGCAGCAAAUAUGUGCCCCCCACCCCUUUUUCCUCCCCAGUGGCUUCCCCAGGGCAAGGCUGACUUAAGAGAUUCUUAGGUCUUGCGGUGAGCCACCUGCAGGCCAAAGACACUGCAACCUGGAACAAAUAUCUAUCCAUGUGUGCAGAGACCGAUUUAGAUACACAUGACACGCCACACACAAUAAAAAUUCAGAUGGAUUUCAAGAUUUGUGCACUAAAUACCAAAAUAAUGAAUUAAAAGUAAUGCAAAAUUAUGUUUCUCUAUAUAUCUAUCUGUCUGUUUGUUGGUCUUGGGGUAGAGGCCUUUCUAAGUCUGGCAACCAACCCAGAAGGCCCAGGAAAACAUUGGCAGAUUGGACCUCUUAAAAAUUAAAAACACAACAGAAUAAAAGUCUAUUGUCAAAGACACUAUAAAUAAACCAGAACAAAAAUGACGGCCUAGGAGGAAGUACUAACUGCAUAUUCUAGCAGGAAAACAAUGAGUAUCUCCACCAUAGGACGUGGGCCUCUAAAUCCAUCAGAAACAGCAAAAAUAGGCAGAUGGGCCACACACACGUGUGAGUCCAUCCACCCUUGCACUCUACAGAUGAAUGGCUCAUUACAGUGGAAAAAUAUCAAGAUAAUCAGCUUCAUUAGUAAUAUACGGCAUUUAAGUGACAGUACCAAUAUGGCAUUAUUUUUAUUUUUGCCUGCCCAGUGAAAAUGAAUGACAACCUUUAGAACCGGGGAAUGAACGAACAGACCUGCAUUUAUGGCUGGUAGGAAGGUAAACCACCGGCACCUUAUGGAAAGUAAAUUGGCAAUAGAUAUGUGCACUUAAUGUGCUUAUCCAAUAACAUGGAGAUCUCUCCUUUAGGAGCCUAUAGAGUGCAUGAAUGUGUAAAGAUGUACAGACGAGGGCUUUCAUUGUGUCACUCUAAUGAGACCCAUCUUUGUAAACAUUUACACUUCUAUAAGAACAUAGGUUUAAUAAAUUUAAGGUGCAUUCAUAUAGCAGAAUUGCUGGAGGGCUCAAAGAAGAAAAACCAAGGUAAAUCUGGGUAAGCCCAGCUAACAUGUUUUUGAGCAUUUGUUAUGUGCUAGGCAUUGUUCUGAAUGCUUUUUAUAUGUGACCUUAUUUAGUCCUCUCAACAACUAUAUAAAGCAGGCAGCAUUGUCAUUAUCCGCAUGGCACAGAAGAGGCACGAGGAAGUCACUCGCUUGUACACGGUCACGCAGGUGGUGAGAAGGGAGGUGGGGAGUUCCACUACAUAGUGAGGUUCCCAAGGCAUGGGCUUGGAAGGGAUCCACCAACGAAGCUGAAAUGUUAAGCAGCAAAAAAGCAAGUUGCAGAAAGAUGUGGCACAACUGUGCUUUGAUUAAAUAUAUAUGACUGUGUGCAAUAUAUUGUCUCUCUAUAUAUGUUUGCAUUCUCAUAAUUACAUAUGGGUUAAUUUGAUGGUGGUGAGUGAGCGGCUGUGGGAGUACAUUUAUUUAUUUACUUGCAAAAACAUGGUGAGGUUACAAAAAAAUAAAAGUAGCUGCUCAGUUCCCUGCUGUUUUUGUUUUUAUUUAUUUUUUUAAUUACCAAGCCCACUUGAUUUGCAUGGAAUAAGAAUGACCUCAUCUGCUAACAAAUAUAUAUCCCUGCAAAUAACACUGCUUCAUGCCAGAAACAAAAAUCCCCAUUUGGGAACACUGCUCAGCUACUCUUUAGCAGUAGAUAAAUUAGUUCGAGGAAAGGCUUUAAAAAUGCUGGCAAAGUCGUACACUGUCAUUAUAGAAAACACGGUGAUGUGACCACAGAGGGAGAUAGGCCGUCUUGCUCAUGUAACAUUUGCUUGUCUCUCUCUUUCCUUCAUGGCAUCCUCCUCUACUUCCCAAAAUCUGGAGAGCAAGCCUGGUCAGAGGUGGAGACACAUAUAGAUAAAAUCCCCAACUUCACCAGGUGACCACGCAGUGCUGAUUCCAGAAGGAGCCUCAUCCGUGUGCAGGUGGCUGGAGUCACAGAGUCACAGAGCGACAGCCACUGGGCUCAGCAGACACCUGGGGCUCGUGGACCACCCAGUGCCAGCUGGUGGAAUUGCAGAGCCUUCCGUACAUCCAGCUGCAGAGAUGAGUGCCCAGAUCCAUCCAUUUUCCUACAAAUGAUUCAAUAACUGAGAUACCUGUAAAGUGCUUAGGAUGCCACGUGGCACACAGGAAACGUGCAGGAAGCAGUGCCAGUGGUUGGGUUGAUAAAGACGAUGAUGAUGACGAAGAAGAUGAAGAACAAGACUCUCCUGCUACUCCUCGUACCUUGUCCAACUCCCACAACCUGAGCUCUUUGGAGGCCAGAGCUGGCUGGGACCCUCAGACACCUUCUGCAGUCCCACGGUCCUCCCCUGGGGCCCACCUUCUGCUGUCUUCCAGGAUCUCAGCCCCCUACCUGUCCUCGGCGGCUCUCCUCAUGUCAUGGUGUACCUUCCUGCCUCCACGGUGUGCAGCAAGUCUCUACCUCCUGCUGCCACCCUGACCCAGGGCUCUACCCCUCUGGCUCAGUGUUACAGACCUCUGAUUGUGUCCUUAAACACUUGAUACUCCUAGCUGACCUUGCACCCUCCCGCUCUCCUACCCAAAUAAACCAACCAGCAAAAGAUCCCAUCCAAGUCCUGCUUACCAUCGCCUUUUACUUCCUGUCACUUUGAAGAGGAGUAAACCUUGCCCAGCCCCUUAAUUCUUCACUCCGAGCCCCUAUCACAGCUCGGUUCUUGCUUAUUACACUUACAUUUCUCCACAACUAUGGAAACUGGAAACUGGAGAAGAGUCCCAAGCCCUGCACUGCCCGGGUCCCUGUGGGCUCUCAGUAACAGGAAGGAGAAAGCCCAGAGGCAGACCCUUGGCUUCCGUGGCUGGUUUACUGAGUUCACCUCCCAGCCUACACAUGGUGUUGAUUCAAAGCCUUCCUGGGGACAGUCAGGCAGAAUAUAUCAAAUGUUAUGAGGCUGGUUUGGAAAGCAAAGAAAUAAAUUGUUACUAUUAUGGAUGAAGCAAUUAUCAUAAAUCUAUUUUUAAUCUCCUCUUCCUUUUAAAAUAAUCGAGGCUGUCUUUUCAUAAGACAAAGCACCAAGGCUUUGAUACAGAGAAGUGCAAAAAGCUCUCCUCCUAGUAAAAAAUGCUAAUUGGAGCAGCCACUGAUUUUUUUUUUUUAGCCUUCAUUAACUGCAUUAGUCUGCAUUAACACCUUUUAAAACCUCUUUAAAACUGUGUUCAAUUCACUUUCUUUAAUCUCAUCUUUUCUAGAAGUGUAGAAUCACUUUGAUCCUCAUCUUCAUCUUUUCUUUUGAUGACAACUUUGGUUUUAAUUUGUAUUUCAGAAUUGAAAUGCAGAUUUUCCAUUACCCACAAUCCUUUCCUCCUCAGGUCCUUCUGGAGAGGUAGGAGCUGGAUUAAUACCACUGUUGUGUGUCCCUGGCCACCACAGCACCCCUUCCCAGCCCCUUACAAGGUCCCGUGGGAGGCUGGGGGAAGAUUGGUUCCACUCCUGUAACUUCUGGGCAUUGGGUCGAGAUGUACCAAGUGUUCGGCACUACGUCCUGAUAGACAUUCAUCCAGCAGUAGAAACAGUUUGCUUUUUGAGGUUUUAUAAGGAGAUUACUCUCUUAUUUCCCCUAACAUUGUAUCCUUUUGUCUCUUGUCAUGGCAUCUUAAUGUUGACGUGAAGGCUGCAGAUAUUUUCCAAGAGAAGAAAGACAUAAAACUAUAUUGGUUUCUCACUAAGUUAAUCAUAGAAUUACUGUAUGAUCCAGCAAUUCCUCUUCUCAUCCAUACCCAAAAGAAUUGAAAACAAGUGUUAAAAAGCCCACUCAUGGAUAUUCACGGCAGCAUUAUCCACAAUAUCCAAAAGAUGGAAGCAGCUUUAGUGUCUAACCAUAGAUGAACAGACUAACAAUACGAUCUAUACAUAGGGAAACGAAGUCCCCAGGCUGCCGUUCAUAGUUCAAAACCAGUCAAUCUGGUCUUGGGUGCCAUAAGAAAAGUCAAGGGGCUCCCUUGCUGUGCACGGGCAAAUAGAAGGGCCAGACCAUUCACCCGAAAAAUAAAUAGAAACCACCUGGCAGCCAGACCACUGUACUCUCCACAAAAGGAGGCAGGACUCCGCCAAGAAGGAAAGCUCACGGGCAGCGCCACCUGAUUCACGUGUGGAUUCCAGCUCUAGGUGUGAAGACACGGAACACAGGGGCCUGGACACUGCAGAGCCCAAAACACACACUGGGACCCCAAACUAUCACAUUUGUGAAAUGCAUUCAUAAGGGCCAAGAAGGAAUUGAUGCCAUUGAACUUAGAUGAGAUUGAAAUUACCGUCACACAGGAAAGCCUCAAUGACACAGAUGAUAAAAACAAAGACUGAAGAAAUUAGAGAUGAGCUACUAGAUACCAAAGUGCCCUGCUUAGGAUGACAGGCGUUGCCAGUCUCAAGACCCCACCAAAGGAUGAUGAAGAUGUGCUAAAGAUGUUCCUGAAGUGAGGAAAGACGGGAUCCUACAGAUCAAAAAUAGUGCGUGGCUUCCCAGGGAGGUUUGCUCGUGAGUAGUCUUUGCAGAACAUGACAUGGUGCGCUGUUGAGCUUCUGGGCUAAAGGCACAGUGUUCUUUCAGAUGUCAAGAAGUGAAAUCAAAUUGCCUAGAAGCACUGUGGGGGAAUUGGGCUGACUCGGGGCUUCCUCCACAGCAAUGAUCAAUUCCCAGAGACAACAGGACAAGAUCUCCGGAGCUCUGGGGCGAGUGGGGUGUCCCCAAAGACACUGUACACAGGACAGCUGUCGUUCCAAAGCAGACACAUUCUCAAAUGUAAAAGAACCCAGGAGAGCCUCACUGUGAGCCCUGACAGGGGUGCUGCCUAAAAGGAAACCCUGCAAAUGUACUUUGAAUCAGAACAGAGAUUUCAGGGAAGAAUUCAGAAGGGCCAGUGGUGACCAUAGAACUCAUUUCAAAGUAGAAUUUGAAACACCCAAGGGAGCCAUGGUUAUCAACUACUAAAUGCCGAGAACCUGGUUAACAUAGUAAUGUUAAAACUAGAAAUAGAGCAGCUGGUAUGAACCCACAAAUGUGUUCAUAUAGAGUGAAGGAUUGAUGGAUACUGUUUAUAGUACAAACGUGUAGUUAAUAGAAUAGUGAAUGCAGUUUGUAUUGUUUGUCAUUCUCUCUUUAGCCUUACAGGAAUCAUUUCAAACUCUGUGUGUGUGUGUGUGUGUGUUUGCUGGAAACUGCCUUCACACUGAGUGAUAGCCUCCGUUUAUUUACGUACUUAUUUAUUGUUGAGACAGGCUUUCCCCAGUUGCUCAGUUGCCCAAGAUGGGCUCAAAUUUGCCACCCUCCUGGCUCAGCCUUCCAGAGUGCUGGGAUUACAGGCAUGCACCACCACGCCUGGCUUAAACAUGUUUCAAACUGAAAAAACCCAUGUGGGCUGCUGAUAUACGUGGUGGUAGAGUGUUUGCCUAGCAGGUGUGCAGCCUGGGUUUUAAUCCCCAGCACUAAAACAGAAGAUUAAAAAAAUUAAAUGUUCAAAAUUUC